rnacentral:lncRNA from 1 species
GUUCCUGGAGGACCCAGGCCUGACCAAGUCCCCGGCCUCAGCAGGCGAUCAUGUUGGCAGGCUUGGAUCUUCUCGCUCUGUGACCAGCCUGGGCCACACACUGGUGGAAUCUGCUCUCACGAGGCCUUCCCUGCCCAGUCCCCACAGGACCUCACCUAGGGUGGAGGAGAGCAACAGCAAGCUCCUGGAGUCAGAGAGGAAGCUGCAGGAGGAGCGACACCGCACCGUGGUGCUGGAGCAACAUCUGGAGAAGAUACGCCUGGAGCCAGGGAAGGCAUCAGCCUCCCAGAGAGCAGCUCCCAGGACCAAAACAG